GAUGAACGCUGGCGGCGUGCCUAAUACAUGCAAGUCGAGCGAACGGACGAGAAGCUUGCUUCUCUGAUGUUAGCGGCGGACGGGUGAGUAACACGUGGAUAACCUACCUAUAAGACUGGGAUAACUUCGGGAAACCGGAGCUAAUACCGGAUAAUAUUUUGAACCGCAUGGUUCAAAAGUGAAAGACGGUCUUGCUGUCACUUAUAGAUGGAUCCGCGCUGCAUUAGCUAGUUGGUAAGGUAACGGCUUACCAAGGCAACGAUGCAUAGCCGACCUGAGAGGGUGAUCGGCCACACUGGAACUGAGACACGGUCCAGACUCCUACGGGAGGCAGCAGUAGGGAAUCUUCCGCAAUGGGCGAAAGCCUGACGGAGCAAAGCCGCGUGAGUGAUGAAGGUCUUCGGAUCGUAAAACUAUGUUAUUAGGGAAGAACAUAUGUGUAAGUAACUGUGCACAUAUUGACGGUACCUAAUCAGAAAGCCACGGCUAACUACGUG
rnacentral:rRNA from 1 species